rnacentral:rRNA from 1 species
UACGAAGGGGCUAGCGUUGCUCGGAAUCACUGGGCGUAAAGGGUGCGUAGGCGGGUCUUUAAGUCAGGGUGAAAUCCUGGAGCUCAACUCCAGAACCUGCCUUUGAUACUGAGGAUCUUGAGUUCGGGAGAGUGAGUGGAACUGCGAGUGUAGAGGUGAAAUUCGUAGAUAUUCGCAAGAACACCAGUGGCGAAGGCGGCUCACUGGCCGAUACUGACGCUGAGGCACGAAGCGUGGAG